ACGAGUGGCGGACGGGUGAGUAAUGUCUGGGAAACUGCCUGAUGGAGGGGGAGUAACUACUGGAAACGGUAGCUAAUACCGCAUAACGUCGAAGGACCAAAGAGGGGGACCCUCGGGCCUCUUGCCAUCGGAUGUGCCCAGAUGGGAUUAGCUAGUAGGUGGGGUAACGGCUCACCUAGGCGACGAUCCCUAGCUGGUCUGAGAGGAUGACCAGCCACACUGGAACUGAGACACGGUCCAGACUCCUACGGGAGGCAGCAUG
rnacentral:rRNA from 1 species